ensembl:lncRNA
UUUCCGCUGACAUGGGCUGGUUGAUCUGGACAUUUCGGACGGGUUAUAAAUAGCUCUCUAGUGUAUGACAAGAAGAAAACUGAUGAUACCCAAUUUCGAAAUUGCACCAUGUGCAUUCUACUAUUACAAUGUUCAAGAGAUUUUUGAGAUUCUCCCAUGACCCCAUUUUCAUAUCAGGCAUCUCCACAUGGGGUCCCGGCCCCUAGUUUGGGAACCGCUGAAUUAAAUGUAUUCAGCGCACGCAAGGGAACCAUACCUGCAAACCUGCAUAAGGAAAGACGACUGCUUCUCCUCCUCUCUAGCCCACCCUAGAAGUCGUAUGUGGAAGAAGAUUUAACAGAAAACAGAGGACAGAUUUAACAGAAAACAGAGGAAAAUAAAUAUUUAUUUU